rnacentral:rRNA from 1 species
AGUGAACGCUGGCGGUAGGCCUAACACAUGCAAGUCGAACGGCAGCACAGUAAGAGCUUGCUCUUACGGGUGGCGAGUGGCGGACGGUUGAGGAAUACAUCGGAAUCUACUUUUUCGUGGGGGAUAACGUAGGGAAACUUACGCUAAUACCGCAUACGACCUACGGGUGAAAGCAGGGGAUCUUCGGACCUUGCGUGAUUGAAUGAGCCGAUGUCGGAUUAGCUAGUUGGCGGGGUAAAGGCCCACCAAGGCGACGAUCCGUAGCUGGUCUGAGAGGAUGAUCAGCCACACUGGAACUGAGACACGGUCCAGACUCCUACGGGAGGCAGCAGUGGGGAAUAUUGGACAAUGGGCGCAAGCCUGAUCCAGCCAUACCGCGUGGGUGAAGAAGGCCUUCGGGUUGUAAAGCCCUUUUGUUGGGAAAGAAAAGCAGCAGGUUAAUACCCCGCUGUUCUGACGGUACCCAAAGAAUAAGCACCGGCUAACUUCGUG